GGUACUUGAGGAAUCACAUCGGCUAACUCCGUGCAAGCAGCCGCGGUAAUACGGAGGAUGCAAGCGUUAUCCGGAAUGAUUGGGAGUAAAGCGUCCGCAGGUGGUUAUGCAAGUUUACUGUUAAAGAGUGAAGCUUAACUUCAUAAGGGACGUAGAAACUGCAUGACUAGAGUGCGUUCGGGGCAGAGGGAAUUACUGGUGUAGCGGUGAAAUGCGUAGAUAUCAGGAAGAACACAGGUGGCGAAAGCGCUCUGCUAGGCCGAAACUGACACUGAGGGUCGUAAGCUAAGGGAGCGAAUGGGAUUUGAUACCCCAGUAGUCUUAGCCGUAAACGUUGGAUACUAGGCGUUGCUUGUAUCGACCCGAGCAGUGCCGUAGCUUACGCGUUAAGUAUCCCGCCUGGGGAGUACGCACGCAAGUGUGUAACUCAAAGGAAUUGACGGGGGCCCGCACAUGCGGUGGAGUAUGUGGUUUAAUUCGAUGCAACGCGAAAAACCUUACCAGGACUUGACAUCUGGCGAAUCUUGCUGAAAGGUGAAAGUGCCUUCGGGAACGCCAAGACAGGUGGUGCAUGGCUGUCAUCAGCUCGUGUCGUGAGAUGUUGGGUUAAGUCCCGCAACAAGCGCAACCCUCGUUUUUAGUUGCCAGCACUUAGGAUGGGCACUCUAGAGAGACUGCCGGUGACAAACCGAAGGAAGGUGGGGACGACGUCAAGUCAUCAUACCCCUUACGUUCUGGGCUACACACGUACUACAAUGCUAUGGACAAAGAGCAACCAACUGGCGACAGUGCGCUAAUCUCAUAAACCAUGGCUCAAUUCAGAUUGCAGGCUGCAACUCGCCUGCAUGAAGGAGGAAUCGCUAGUAAUUGCAGGUCAGCAUACUGCAGUAAAUUCGUUCCCGGGCUGGUACACACCGCCCGUCACACCAUGGAAAUUGGUCACGCCCGAAGUCGUUACCCUAACCG
rnacentral:rRNA from 1 species